rnacentral:miRNA from 1 species
UAGGCAGCUAAAGCAAGCCUUC